UGGGGAAUAUUGCACAAUGGGCGCAAGCCUGAUGCAGCCAUGCCGCGUGUAUGAAGAAGGCCUUCGGGUUGUAAAGUACUUUCAGCGAGGAGGAAGGCGGUAAGGUUAAUAACCUUAUCGAUUGACGUUACUCGCAGAAGAAGCACCGGCUAACUCCGUGCCAGCAGCCGCGGUAAUACGGAGGGUGCAAGCGUUAAUCGGAAUUACUGGGCGUAAAGCGCACGCAGGCGGUCUGUCAGGUCGGAUGUGAAAUCCCCGGGCUCAACCUGGGAACUGCAUUCGAAACUGGCAGGCUAGAGUCUUGUAGAGGGGGGUAGAAUUCCAGGUGUAGCGGUGAAAUGCGUAGAGAUCUGGAGGAAUACCGGUGGCGAAGGCGGCCCCCUGGACAAAGACUGACGCUCAGGUGCGAAAGCGUGGGGAGCAAACA
rnacentral:rRNA from 1 species